rnacentral:rRNA from 1 species
UGGGGAAUAUUGGACAAUGGGCGAAAGCCUGAUCCAGCCAUGCCGCGUGUGUGAAGAAGGCCUUUUGGUUGUAAAGCACUUUAAGUGGGGAGGAAAAGCUUAUGGUUAAUACCCAUAAGCCCUGACGUUACCCACAGAAUAAGCACCGGCUAACUCUGUGCCAGCAGCCGCGGUAAUACAGAGGGUGCAAGCGUUAAUCGGAAUUACUGGGCGUAAAGCGAGCGUAGGUGGUCAUUUAGGUCAGAUGUGAAAGCCCCGGGCUUAACCUGGGAACUGCAUCUGAUACUGGAUGACUAGAGUAGGUGAGAGGGAAGUAGAAUUCCAGGUGUAGCGGUGAAAUGCGUAGAGAUCUGGAGGAAUACCGAUGGCGAAGGCAGCUUCCUGGCAUCAUACUGACACUGAGGUUCGAAAGCGUGGGUAGCAAACAGGAUUAGAUACCCUGGUAGUCCACGCCGUAAACGAUGUCUACCAGUCGUUGGGUCUUUUAAAGACUUAGUGACGCAGUUAACGCAAUAAGUAGACCGCCUGGGGAGUACGGCCGCAAGGUUA